rnacentral:snRNA from 1 species
GUGCCUUAAACUAAUGAGUAAGGAAAAUAAACAAGCCCUGGUAACGCUUGGCUUACAUACUAGAUUUACUCAGGGUUGUUAACUCUACGGAUUUUUCCGUAGAUCUACGGAUUUUCGAAAUUAUUUCGGAUUUUCGGAUAUCGACCACAUUUCUACGGAUUUUUCAGCUGCAGCCAUCAAGAAGCUAAAAUGAGGAUUUUUUACUCUUAAGGUGUCAUUCUUCUUCUUUUUUGGUCUA